rnacentral:rRNA from 1 species
AUUGAACGCUGGCGGCAGGCCUAACACCUGCAAGUCGAACGAGUGGCGGACGGGUGAGUAAUGUCUGGGAAACUGCCCGAUGGAGGGGGAUAACUACUGGAAACGGUAGCUAAUACCGCAUACCCUCAGAUGUGCCCCGAUGGGAUUAGCUAGUUGGAGGGGUAACGGCUCACAAAGGCGACGAACCCUAGCUGGUCUGAGAGGAGGACCAGCCACGCUGAAGCUGAGCCACGGUCCAGAAUCCUGCAGGAGGCAGCAGGGGGGAAUAUUGCACAAUGGGCUCAAGCCUGAUGCAGCCAUGCCGCGUGUAUGAAGAAGGCCUUCAGUUUGUAAGGUACUUUGAGCGAGGAGGCGUAACCCGCAGAAGAAGCACCGGCUGACGCCGUGCCAGCCGCCGCUGUAAUAC